rnacentral:rRNA from 1 species
UACGUAGGGGGCGAGCGUUGUCCGGAUUCAUUGGGCGUAAAGAGCUCGUAGGCGGCUUGGCAAGUCGGGUGUGAAACCUCCAGGCUCAACCUGGAGACGCCACCCGAUACUGCUAUGGCUAGAGUCCGGUAGGGGACCACGGAAUUCCUGGUGUAGCGGUGAAAUGCGCAGAUAUCAGGAGGAACACCAGUGGCGAAGGCGGAUCUCUGGGCCUUACCUGACGCUCAGGUGCGAAAGCUAGGGGAGCGAACAGG